UUCAUUUAUGACAUUAGGUUCUGUUCUCUAUACUUAAAAAUAACAAAAAAAAGCAUAUAAAGUUUUCAUUUAUUUAGCUAGUUGGUGUAGUGCUUUUUGCUCAGUGCAUGUGAGGUUCGAUUGAAUGCUGAUCGCAAUCGCGAAGGCUGCCAAACGCUUCUAUGCAAAGUGCCUGCGAUUCCGCCUCUUCCACGUCCAUCUCCUCCAGCUCCUCCUGCUUCUCCUGCUCCUCUAGCUCCUCCUGCUCCUCCAGCUCCUCCAGUUCCCCCCUGCGCCUCCUGCUCCUCCCCCUCCUCCCCCAAAGGCAUCACCCAGGCCCAUCCGCCUGAUCCGCUGGCAGCGGAGGAAGAACCUGUUGCUGCUGUUGGCCUGGGCUGGUCGCAACUAUCAAGAUGACCAAGGGGUGAACAAAUUCAUUCAGUCAUUCAUCGAAACAAAUUGGUUGACUGAUGAUGACGACGACGCGAUGCAGCCGAAGAGGUGGAGCUCAGGAUCUGCAGCCGGACUUGAUCGGGACAUGGCCGGACUUGGAGCCCCCCCUACCACCACAUCUCAAUGGCUAUGUGGGCUGUAUAUCCCGGUAUCCAGAAUCCAUUUGCGUGUCUGGGAACUUAACAAUUUUAUUUAUUCGUCGCCGGACGCAUUUUCAAUGCACACUCGUGUCAUCCGAUAAGCCAGCCGGGUCUAACAAUUACUAUCGCAUAAAUAACCGUUUACCCCCACUG